UACGUAGGGGGCGAGCGUUGUCCGGAUUUACUGGGCGUAAAGGGCGUGUAGGCGGUUGGACAAGUCUGGUGUGAAAUGCAUGGGCUCAACUCAUGCGCUGCGCUGGAAACUGUCUGACUGGAGUGUCGGAGGGGUUACUGGAAUCCCCGGUGUAACGGUGAAAUGUGUAGAUAUCGGGGGGAACACCUGUGGCGAAGGCGGGUAACUGGACGAUAACUGACGCUGAUACGCGAAAGCGUGGGGAG
rnacentral:rRNA from 1 species